rnacentral:snRNA from 1 species
GGAAGUGAGGGCAAUCUGGCUGCUACAUCUGUCAUCCCAUUGAUCGCCAGGGUUGAUUCGGCUGAUCUGACUGCAUAGGCGGGUCUACCUUUCCUCCCUCACCGCUCCAUGUGCAUGCUCGGUUGAAGAGGACGACCUUCCCUGAUAGAAGGAGGACCAUCCUUCAGUCAAAGGUAUACGAGUAGCUGAGCUCCCCUGCUAGAACCUCCAAACAAGAAGAGCCUCUUGCAUGCAGUACUGGGGAGUGGGUGCCAGCACCACUCAACACCAGCUGUAGCCUCCUGUU